rnacentral:tRNA from 1 species
GCGCCCGUAGCUCAGUGGCAGAGCAGCCGCCUUUUAAGCGGCGUGUCGUGGGUUCGAUCCCCACCGGGCACACCA